UCAUACUGAAGGUCUGUCAAUAGAUCCUUCUGACCCUUCACUAUGUACUCAGGAGAUUCCUUUGCCGAGAGACUUUGCCCUGAUGA